ACCUACGGGGGGCAGCAGUGGGGAAUAUUGCACAAUGGGGGAAACCCUGAUGCAGCGACGCCGCGUGAGUGAAGAAGUAUUUCGGUAUGUAAAGCUCUAUCAGCAGGGAAGAUAAUGACGGUACCUGACUAAGAAGCCCCGGCUAACUACGUGUCAGCAGCCGCGGUAAUACGUAGGGGGCAAGCGUUAUCCGGAUUUACUGGAUGUAAAGGGAGCGUAGGUGGCAGGGCAAGUCAGAUGUGAAAA
rnacentral:rRNA from 1 species